rnacentral:rRNA from 1 species
UACGAGGGGGGCAAGCGUUGUUCGGAAUUAUUGGGCGUAAAGGGUGCGUAGGCGGUUUGGUAAGUCUGAUGUGAAAUCUAUGGGCUCAACUCAUAGUCUGCAUCGGAAACUGCCGGGCUUGAGUAUGGGAGAGGUGAGUGGAAUUCCUGGUGUAGCGGUGAAAUGCGUAGAUAUCAGGAGGAACACCUGUGGCGAAAGCGGCUCACUGGACCAUAACUGACGCUGAUGCACGAAAGCGCGGGGAUCAAACAGG